CCAAUUUAAGUUGCCGAGAAAAAAACCUGUACUGUCUUGUUUGGUUGCAUGUUGCAGUACUGGCAAUGCCUUUCCAAGUGCACGUAAUAGUUGCAAGCCAUAUGGCUCGAAAAUCCCAAAACUAAACAUAUCCUGAAUAAGUCUGCGUUUCCAUCACUUCAACCUGUAACAAACAGAAAUUAUUUGGCCUCUUCCUGUUCGUGGAAAUUUAUGUAAAAUUAUAAAUCAAAUAGGCUAAGUGGCGGACUAACGCAACUGAAUGCUAUUACAAAUUCGGUACAAGUAUGUACCUGAAGACGGGUAUUUUGGUCAUGUUGCAUGCUUCACCGAAAGAGCAAUUGCUGCUACAUUCUUCUUGGACGCAAGAAAUAAACUUGAGACCAUCUUUCUCCUGCCCCUUUCUCAAGCGUCAUAAUUGACCAAUAUAAGAACAUUACACAUUCAUUUGAAAACGCAUAAUAGCUCUUGUCAGGAUGGAAGAACAAAUCAUUUACUGCUCGACUGGCAACCCACUUGUAUUAUAU
rnacentral:lncRNA from 1 species